GUCAACGCCCUAAACGAUGUCAACUAGUUGUUGGUAGAGUAAAAUCUAUGAGUAACGCAGCUAACGCGUGAAGUUGACCGCCUGGGGAGUACGAUCGCAAGAUUAAAACUCAAAUGAAUUGACGGGGGCCCCGCACAAGCGGUGGAUUAUGUGGAUUAAUUCGAUGCAACGCGAAAACCUUACCUGGCCUUGACAUGUACCGAAUUUACCAGAGAUGGUUUAGUGCUCGAAAGAGAACGGUAACACAGGUGCUGCAUGGCUGUCGU
rnacentral:rRNA from 1 species